UACAGAGGUCCCGAGCGUUGUUCGGAUUCACUGGGCGUUAAGGGUGCGUAGGUGGCAUGGUAAGUUUGAUGUGAAAGCUCAGGGCUUAACCCUGAAAUGGCAUUGAAUACUACUGUGCUGGAGGUUUGGAGGGGGGACUGGAAUUCUUGGUGUAGCAGUGAAAUGCGUAGAUAUCAAGAGGAACACCAGUGGCGAAGGCGAGUCCCUGGACAACACCUGACACUGAGGCACGAAAGCUAGGGGAGCAAACAGG
rnacentral:rRNA from 1 species